GCUGGGCAUGGUGGUGCAUGCCUGUAAUCCCAGCUACUUGGGAAGCUGAGGCAGGAGAAUCGCUUGAACCCAGGAGGCGGAGGUUGCAGUGAGCCAAGAUCGCGCCAUUGCACUCCAGCCUGGGCAACAGAGCGAGACUCCGUCUCAA
rnacentral:SRP_RNA from 1 species